rnacentral:tRNA from 1 species
CGGGCCGUAGUAUACCGGCAGUACGCCUGCUUUGGGAGCAGGUAGACUGGGUUCGAUUCCCAGCGGCCCGACCA